CCUACGGGUGGCAGCAGUGAGGAAUAUUGGUCAAUGGACGCGAGUCUGAACCAGCCAAGUAGCGUGAAGGAUGACUGCCCUACGGGUUGUAAACUUCUUUUAUAAAGGAAUAAAAUGUUGCACAUGUGCCUUUUUGUAUGUACUUUAUGAAUAAGGAUCGGCUAACUCCGUGCCAGCAGCCGCGGUAAUACGGAGGAUCCGAGCGUUAUCCGGAUUUAUUGGGUUUAAAGGGAGCGUAGAUGGGUUGUUAAGUCAGUUGUGAAAGUUUGCGGCUCAACCGUAAAAUUGCAGUUGAUACUGGCAGUCUUGAGUACAGUUGAGGUAGGCGGAAUUCGUGGUGUAGCGGUGAAAUGCUUAGAUAUCACGAAGAACUCCGAUUGCGAAGGCAGUUCACUAGACUGCAACUGACAUUGAUGCUCGAAAGUGUGGGUAUCAAACAGGAUUAGAUACCCUGGUAGUC
rnacentral:rRNA from 1 species